GCAAGCGUAGCUCAGUUGGUAGAGUGUCAGUUUGUGGGUCGCCAAUUUGAUCCUGGUCGCUUGUCCCA
rnacentral:tRNA from 1 species